UACGAAGGGGGCUAGCGUUGCUCGGAAUCACUGGGCGUAAAGGGUGCGUAGGCGGGUCUUUAAGUCAGGGGUGAAAUCCUGGAGCUCAACUCCAGAACUGCCUUUGAUACUGCGAAUCUCGAGUCCGGAAGAGGUGAGUGGAAUUCCUAGUGUAGAGGUGAAAUUCGUAGAUAUUAGGAAGAACACCAGUGGCGAAGGCGGCUCACUGGUCCGGUACUGACGCUGAGGUGCGAAAGCUAGGGGAGCAAACGGG
rnacentral:rRNA from 1 species